GACGAACGCUGGCGGCGUGCUUAACACAUGCAAGUCGAACGGAAAGGCCUCUUUCGGGGGGUACUCGAGUGGCGAACGGGUGAGUAACACGUGAGUAACCUGCCCUUGACUUUGGGAUAACUUCAGGAAACUGGGGCUAAUACCGGAUAGGAGCUCCUGCUGCAUGGUGGGGUUUGGAAAGUUUCGGCGGUUGGGGAUGGACUCGCGGCUUAUCAGCUUGUUGGUGGGGUAGUGGCUUACCAAGGCUUUGACGGGUAGCCGGCCCGAGAGAGUGACCGGCCACGUUGGGACUUAGAUACGGCCCAGACUCCGACGGGAGGCAGCUGUGGGGAAGAUUGCCCAAUGGGUGGAAGCCUGAUGCAGCAACGCCGUGUGCGGGAUGACGGCCUUCGGGUCGUAAACCGCUUUCGCUCAUGACGAAGCUUUGUGUGACGGUAGUGGGUAAAGAAGCACCGGCUAACUACGUG
rnacentral:rRNA from 1 species